CACCGCCCGUCACGCCAUGGAAGUGGUGAGCGCCCGAAGUCCGUGUCGGAACCCGCAAGGGGCCCAAGGCGGCCGAAGGCGAGCAUCAUGACUGGGGCG
rnacentral:rRNA from 1 species